CAUGAAUCUUGCUACACAUUGCACUGGGCAUCUUGGCAAACUGUGGCUUGGGGGGCACCACAGGCACAGAGCGGACCUGUUGGACCUGAACCAGAGUGGAAGCUAGACGCAUGCCCACGCCACCCAGGCCAAGAGAACAGGGGCAUAGACAGCCGUCUGGACUGGGCUGCCCCUCAGGCUCCAUCUCCUCUGGCUGAGGUGGCUGUGGGGCUACCUCUUCCAUCUCAGAAGAGUGAGGAUUGCCCUCUUUGGCACAGUCAACCUCCAGGGACGCUACACCUGAACCUUCAGAGAGGGUGUCCUCUUCUAAAUAGUACCCUCCAGCCCUCUGGUCUCCCUCAGCCUCUCCAUCCCCACUCUCCCGUUCCUUGCUGACCUCCCCUGCUCCUCCUUCAGUUGCUGCUUCUGGGCUUCUGCUGUCUUCACCAUCUCCUUGGUCUUUUCUUGCUUCAUGGUACCCCUUCUCCCUCUGUCCUUUGUCCUCAUCCUCUCUGACUCCCUCAGCCUCUUGUUUCUGUACAACUUCCCAUUUCUCCUCAGCAACUUGAUCUUCCUGGGCCCCUUGCUCUAGGUCCCUUCCAGCUUCUACCUGGGCUUCCUCUCUUUGUUCAUCCUCUUCUCUCUCAAUUUCUUUUUCCUUCUCAUCUGUAUACUCAUCUCCUCCUGGUUCCUCCACACCUUUAGCCUCCAUACUGUCAGCCUUCUUCUGACCUUUGGACUUCUCUUCCUUGGCCUCUGUCUCUUCCCUACUCCCUUCUCUCAAUCUGACUUUUGUCUCUUGGCUUCCCCCAGCCUCCCCUCUAUCCUCACUGGCCUUUCCAGCCUCCACCUUGGUCUCUGGACUUCCCUCUGCCUCUUCCCUGAUGUCUAGCCUGCCUCCAGGCUCAGCCUGCUUG
rnacentral:lncRNA from 1 species